GACGAACGCUGGCGGCGUGCUUAACACAUGCAAGUCGAACGGAAAGGCCCUGCUUGCAGGGUACUCGAGUGGCGAACGGGUGAGUAACACGUGGGUGAUCUGCCCUGCACUUCGGGAUAAGCCUGGGAAACUGGGUCUAAUACCGGAUAGGAGCCAUUUUUAGUGUGAUGGUUGGAAAGUUUUUUUCGGUGUAGGAUGAGCUCGCGGCCUAUCAGCUUGUUGGUGGGGUAAUGGCCUACCAAGGCGGCGACGGGUAGCCGGCCUGAGAGGGUGGACGGCCACAUUGGGACUGAGAGACGGCCCAGACUCCUACGGGAGGCAGCAGUGGGGAAUAUUGCACAAGGGGCGCAAGCCGGAUGCAGCGACGCCGCGGGGGGGAUGACGGCCUUCGGGUUGUAAACUCCUUUCGCUAGGGACGAAGCUUUUUGUGACGGUACCUAGAUAAGAAGCACCGGCUAACUACGUG
rnacentral:rRNA from 1 species